UACAGAGGUCCCGAGCGUUGUUCGGAUUUAUUGGGCGUAAAGGGUGCGUAGGCGGCGGAGUAAGUUGGGUGUGAAAUCCCGAGGCUCAACCUCGGAAUUGCAUUCAAUACUGCUUCGCUCGAGUACUGGAGAGGAGGCUGGAAUUUACGGUGUAGCAGUGAAAUGCGUAGAUAUCGUAAGGAAGGCCAGUGGCGAAAGCGAGCCUCUGGACAGUUACUGACGCUGAUGCACGAAGGCCAGGGGAGCAAACGGG
rnacentral:rRNA from 1 species